CUUCCUCUUUCACCUUCAUUCAAACAAGCAGCGUGACGUUUCGGCGGCUGUCAAUGGUUGUUUCAAGAGAUGGAUUUAGAGUGAGUGUGACAACUCUCAGUGGUCAUGUUUUUGUGCAUGAGUGAAGAAUUGAACCAUGUUCUGCUGGACACCUGGACUCACGAAGAUGGCGAGAUAACCCAGGAACCAUCAAGGAGAAAACAGGGACAACCCCUAACAGACAUCUUUCCAGGAUCCCACCAGAAAUGCAGGCGUGGUGUAGUGCUGCAGGCGGACAGGACGGCUCAACAACAUGGAUGUUGUGUUCAUUGUUUCACGCUGUGUCGCCUGUCCUUCACAUCACAAAGAGAAGCCAGCGCACUCGCUCACCCCAUCGCUACACACUCACACACAGCUGAUACAGACGCGCAGCAGAGAAUGAUGUUCUGCUUGAUUGAAACAGGAUUAAGAUUAGGUUUGACAGAUUUAAGGGUUGAAUAGGAACUAUAAAGGAUUUCAGUAUUGCUUCUGAUUUCAGUAUCUGGACACUUCAAAGCAUCUCUAAACAUCUGCACCAGUGUUUGUUUGCCUACCUACUAACUAUAAUCCGUAACAAUGCUACAAUCUAACACCAUAAGGUUACAAUGUGCUUUAGGUGUAGGUAAAAAAAAUACAUGUAUAUGUAUCCAGUUAUUUUCUCCAUUAAAACUACAAAGCUUGACCGACAUAUUUGCUUAUCAAUAUUACUAUAAGCUUACCCCAUGAGGCACAAACAAUGAAAGUCAAGAUUUAUGCCAUGUUUUUUAUUUUCUCCCACUAAAAUAAAGGUUGUUUUUAUUAAGUCCA